rnacentral:rRNA from 1 species
UACGUAGGGUGCGAGCGUUAAUCGGAAUUACUGGGCGUAAAGCGUGCGCAGGCGGUUUUUUAAGACAGGCGUGAAAUCCCCGGGCUUAACCUGGGAACUGCGCUUGUGACUGGAAGGCUAGAGUACGGCAGAGGGGGGUGGAAUUCCACGUGUAGCAGUGAAAUGCGUAGAGAUGUGGAGGAACACCGAUGGCGAAGGCAGCCCCCUGGGCCGAUACUGACGCUCAUGCACGAAAGCGUGGGGAGCAAGCAGG